rnacentral:rRNA from 1 species
GCUAGCUUGACUGCGAGCGUGACGGCGCGAGCAGGUGCGAAAGCAGGUCAUAGUGAUCCGGUGGUUCUGAAUGGAAGGGCCAUCGCUCAACGGAUAAAAGGCACUCCGGGGAUAACAGGCUGAUACCGCCCAAGAGUUCAUAUCGACGGCGGUGUUUGGCACCUCGAUGUCGGCUCAUCACAUCCUGGGGCUGAAGUAGGUCCCAAGGGUAUGGCUGUUCGCCAUUUAAAGUGGUACGCGAGCUGGGUUUAGAACGUCGUGAGACAGUUCGGUCCCUAUCUGCCGUGGGCGCUGGAGAAUUGAGGGGGGCUGCUCCUAGUACGAGAGGACCGGAGUGGACGCAUCACUGGUGUUCGGGUUGUCAUGCCAAUGGCACUGCCCGGUAGCUAAAUGCGGAAGAGAUAAGUGCUGAAAGCAUCUAAGCACGAAACUUGCCCCGAGAUGAGUUCUCCCUGAGACUAUAAGUCUCCUGAAGGAACGUUGAAGACGACGACGUUGAUAGGCCGGGUGUGUAAGCGCAGCGAUGCGUUGAGCUAACCGGUACUAAUGAACCGUGAGGCUUAACCUUACAACGCCGAAG